UACGUAGGGCGCAAGCGUUUAUCCGGAAUUAUUGGGGCGUAAAGAGCUCGUAGGCGGUUUGUCGCGUCUGCCGUGAAAGUCCGGGGCUCAACUCCGGAUCUGCGGUGGGUACGGGCAGACUAGAGUGAUGUAGGGGAGACUGGAAUUCCUGGUGUAGCGGUGAAAUGCGCAGAUAUCAGGAGGAACACCGAUGGCGAAGGCAGGUCUCUGGGCAUUAACUGACGCUGAGGAGCGAAAGCAUGGGGAGCGAACAGG
rnacentral:rRNA from 1 species